rnacentral:lncRNA from 1 species
GAGCUUCUUUUUUUUCUUGGGCCGACCGAAGGCUGGGAGGCUCGGCCUCCUUCCUGCACCCGCGCGGGCUGAGCGGCCCAGGGAGCUUGGCUCCCCCUUUCUUUUUUCUUUUUGCUAAUCCCUUUGAAUAUUUUCUCGUAUCCCUUCUAACCAUUGUUGAAUCUUUGUUUGCGUAGGUGAGGUGGUUGGUCCUGACCGAGAGGGGGGCGUCCAAGGGCUCCGCGGCGGAGCGUGCGGCGAACCGACCGUCGAGGAAGAAGAAGGUCGCCUUUCGUCCGCGUGGGUAUCCUCCGGUGGUCCCGAUGGCUCCGAUGGAGGGCGGUUGGGCUCACGACUACCUUCUCCAGUCUUUGACGAGCCCCGAGGACCUUGUCCAGCUGGAGGAGGCGG